GCCAUUAUAAAUCGCUCUUUAAAGCACCAUUGUAUCGAACAAAUAAUUCAUCCGUCUCAAAUCAAAUCAUAGCUCUGCAGAAUUCACAAAACCCUAAACCCUAGAGUCCGAAUCCCUCAAAAUCUCCAAAUGCUGUCAAAAUGCGGGACUUCCUCCCUCUUCCAAAUUCCAAAUACUCAAAACCCAGCCUUCUGCGUUCUACUCCAAUUCACUGCCUCAAUUUCAAGUCUAAAAGUGGUGUGGCGAAAGGAUCCAAAAUUAGAUCAAUCAAUCGAAAACGAUAAAAAAUGGCGGCUAUGCGCGCGGGUCGUCAGAGAAGUUUCGAAUGAGCCAGGUCAGAUAAUCGCGCUUCGGUACCUAGAAAAACGCCGCAAGCGGCUUCGGUUACACAUUAGAAUUCAAACUUUUCUUGCCCAAAAUCCGGGUUUGUUCGAUACGUAUAUGGACAGAGUUAAGCCCAAAACCGAUUUAGUCACCUUCCUCCGUCCUAGUGAUAGACUGAAGCGGUUUUUGGAAGAAGAGAAGAUGAUUUAUGGGAAAAACGAGCCGUUGAUCGUGGCGAAAUUGUGUAAAUUGCUCAUGAUGGCGAAGGAUAGGGUUGUUAGUGCAGAUAAAUUGGUUGAGGUGAAGAGAGAAUUUGGUUUCCCGAAUGAUUUUCUGGUGACGCUGGUAUCCAAGUAUCCAGAGUAUUUUAAAUUGCAUGGGGCACCCGGAGAGGGAAGGUCAUUCCUCGAGUUGGUUACUUGGAAUGAGGAGUUUGCCAAGUCGGUUAUUGAGAAGAGGGCAGAGGAGGAAUCGAGGUUGAUGGGGGUUAAAGUUAGGCCAGGGUUCAAUUGGAAGCUUCCCCCAGGGUUUUUUAUCAGGAAGGAAAUGAGAGAGUGGAUUAGGGAUUGGAUGGAGCUACCUUACAUUUCUCCUUAUGAGGAUGUUUCUCAUUUAGAUCAAGCAUCUGCGGAGAUGGAGAAAAGAAUGGUGGGAGUUUUCCACGAGCUGCUUUCACUUUCAAUUUAUAAGAGGGUCCCAGUGCCAAUCUUGGGCAAAUUUUGUGAGGAGUAUAGGUUUUCUAAUGCAUUCACAAGUGUAUUUACUAGGCAUUCAGGGAUCUUUUAUAUGUCGCUGAAGGGUGGGAUUCGGACUGCGAUAUUGAGGGAAGCAUAUAAGGGUGAGGAGUUAGUUGAUCGUGAUCCACUUCUUGAGAUCAAAGAUAAGUUUGUUGAGAUGCUAGAAGAGGGGCACCGGCAGAGGGCUGAGCAAUUGAGAAUACAUAGAGAAAUGAUUCGGAAGGACAUGGAACUGAUGGCAGCAAGGAACAAAGAAUGGAAUCAUCAUGAGCAGAUUCAGUUAUAUGAAGAUGCACAUUGCUGAAAUAUGCCAAGCAUAGGGAAGAAAUUUCUCCUUGUCAAUGCAGGUUUGACUGGGGAAGGGAUUGCUUGAUGAGGAUAAUGGAAAGUCCCAUGUUAUUGCAACACAAUUGAUGGAAAAUAAUACAAAUUGCGGGAUCUUUCUUUUGGAGCCUUACAAGUGACAUUUUCUCUGCUGCUCCCUAAGUUUUGUUACAAUGGAGGUCAUGUGAUGAUCUGAAGAUUUUGCAGUCCUUUUGAUUGGGGAACUUAUUAGUUCUCCUUCCACAAAUUUG